AUACGUAGGUGACAAGCGUUGUCCGGAUUUACUGGGCGUAAAGGGCGUGUAGGCGGUCUUGCAAGUCAGAAGUGAAAUUCCUGAGCUCAACUCGGGCGCUGCUUCUGAAACUGCAGGACUUGAGUGCUGGAGGGGAUAGCGGAAUUCCUAGUGGAGCGGUAAAAUGCGCAGAUAUUAGGAAGAACACCGGUGGCGAAGGCGGCUAUCUGGACAGUAACUGACGCUGAGGCGCGAAAGCGUGGGGAGCAAACAGGAUUAGAUCCCCUGGUAGUCCACGCCGUAAACGAUGAAUACUAGGUGUAGGGGGUAUCGACUCCCUCUGUGCCGCAGUUAACACAAUAAGUAUUCCGCCUGGGGAGUACGGCCGCAAGGUUAAAACUCAAAGGAAUUGACGGGG
rnacentral:rRNA from 1 species